CCCCGGGCGGCUGCCGUGGGGAAUAUUGCACCAUGGGCGCAAGCCUGAUGCCGCCAUGCCGCGUGUGUGAAGCAGGCCUUCGGGUUGUAAAGCACUUUCAGCGGGGAGGAAGGCGGUGAGGUUAAUAACCUCAUCGAUUGACGUUACCCGCAGAAGAAGCACCGGCUAACUCCGUGCCAGCAGCCGCGGUAAUACGGAGGGUGCAAGCGUUAAUCGGAAUUACUGGGCGUAAAGCGCACGCAGGCGGUCUGUCAAGUCGGAUGUGAAAUCCCCGGGCUCAACCUGGGAACUGCAUUCGAAACUGGCAGGCUAGAGUCUUGUAGAGGGGGGUAGAAUUCCAGGUGUAGCGGUGAAAUGCGUAGAGAUCUGGAGGAAUACCGGUGGCGAAGGCGGCCCCCUGGACAAAGACUGACGCUCAGGUGCGAAAGCGUGGGGAGCAAACAGGAUUAGAUACCCGUGUAGUC
rnacentral:rRNA from 1 species